CGGGUGAGUAAUACAUCGGAACGUGCCCUGUAGUGGGGGAUAACUAGUCGAAAGAUUAGCUAAUACCGCAUACGACCUGAGGGUGAAAGUGGGGGACCGCAAGGCCUCAUGCUAUAGGAGCGGCCGAUGUCUGAUUAGCUAGUUGGUGGGGUAAAGGCCCACCAAGGCGACGAUCAGUAGCUGGUCUGAGAGGACGAUCAGCCACACUGGGACUGAGACACGGCCCAGACUCCUACGGGAGGCAGCAGGC
rnacentral:rRNA from 1 species